GCCCUGCCGGCGUGGAGCACCUCACCGUCUUGUAUGGCUUUUUAUUCCUAUGUGAUUAUACAUCCUGCCUCAUAUAGGGAUUGAAGCCGUGCAAUACGCUGGGGUCCUGCAGCGGAGAGCAGCCCGUGCGCCUUGGAGACAGCCUCGGAGGAGCCACCGAAGCCAGCCUGAGCUCCAUCCUGCACCCGGGGUUCCCGGGGUUGCCAGUGGCUUUCUGACGUGGUUGUGCUUCAUCACCGAGGAUGCAGGAGGUGGAGGGAAAGGAGGAGGAGGAGGAGGAAGAAGCUGGGGAACGGCUGCAGCAGUGAGGGCUGCCCCAAAUGCAGCGCUCCUCAAAGUUUCUCAAGAGGCCGCCACUGCUCUUUAAAGGCACGUUGCACCCUGGAGCCAGGAUGGCGAGGAGUUGGCCCCAGCACGGCUCUCCUGGUGGAAUCACUGCAACCACAGUCCCACUCCUGGCUUCUUCCUUUCCCAAGGCAGGCUCAAGUGACGCCGGUGUCCCAUCCAGGGCAGGUACAGCCCCAGGUCCCCACCUGCAAAGCCACUGCUCCUGGCAGGCUGCAACAACCCAGAGACACAGCGGUGCCUGGCAGAGGAAUAAAAUGAUGCCUUGUCUGUAAGGGAUGCACACACUGAAGAGAGUCACGUCUUGCAGAGCUUCGUCCUCCCUGGACAGAUGGAUAUGGCCCACUCAAGCAAUCAGUCAGAAAAAAAGCUUCAGCGUCUCCAGGUAGAAACAUGAGAAGAUGAAGGGUGUCUGUGUAACCUGGGUGUCCUUGGUCAACCUCCCCCUGUCCUGUUACCUCCUCAUUAGAAGAGAAGGAACGAGAAUAAAACCGUGUGUGGAGGCCAAGCGAAUGUAGAUGUGAAACGCACUUCAAACAGUUCCAGCCUUUCAACAAACCUUUUAUCAGCCUUCUCUCCCCACCGCUGCAAACUCCUUUUAAUCGUGAGUGAAAAGCCACUGUUUAGAAAGCAAGGACACUGCUCGGGGUACGCGCGGCGUUACCAGCACAGGCAUUUCCCAGGAGAAGCCAGCAAGCGCUCACCCAAGGUCUUCUGAACUCGAGUGCAGCACGGCACAAGCAGCAGCUCCAAGGACUAGCACGGUGCUCAGCGAUGUGGAAGGCUGCAGGCAGAGCACAGGGGCACAUUGGGUCCGUGGAGGUGUCCCCAAGCUGGCACACCAGGCCUGGGGCACUUCUGUGCUGGGAAGAGCUGGAGCUGGAGCCACUCGGGACUGCACCGCAGCAGCAUCUGGCCCCAGAUCCCUUUUUGGCUGUAAAGCUACUCGUUUCGGUGCCCCUGCGGUGCUGGCACGCUGGGCACGCAGCAAAAGCCAAAUGAUCUGAAGCCCACGGGCAACCUCUGGAGAAAAUUGACAGCACGGAGCAGCUUCUCCCCUGCCAUCAUCACCCAGCGUUAUGGCAGUGCAGGUCUCUUCCAGCAGACCUCAAAGCCGUCUGCCAGCACCAGCGAGUUCAGGCAUGUUGCAGGAGGCCUUCAGGCUCAGAGCACAAUGUGGGGAUGUGUUUCAACGCCAGGGGAAUGACUUGGGUUUGAAAUCUCCAGGCUUGUGCCGUGGCGCUUCCCCUGGGCUGUGAGCACGGACUGAUCCUGGCUCUGGCUGUGGUCCUGUCAGUCCAGCAGCCAGCCUGGCACUGAUACCGAGGGGAAGGGGCUGGCUCCCACGGCAGCCCUGCUGAAACCCUUACUUGUGAGAUACUGGCUUAAAAAAAAAACAAAAACAAAAACAAAGCAGGAGGUGUUGCAUCCUGCUCAGAAACCCACCCUCCAAUCCAUCUCGGAGCGGCUCAGUGCUGCUGUGUAGCAGCUGCUCAAUGACACCACUACUCGCAGCGCUGGCAGGACGGUGUAUUUAUGGCACGAGAUUAGAUCAGCCACAUGCAGUAGGCUUGUCUGUCUGGGAAGAGUCUGAGUCAAGCGUGUCCUAUUAAAUUAGGGCUGGAUUUUCAAAGGAGCUCAGCUUCCACUUCGGCUCUGUGACAAAUAGGCAGGUUUUUCAAAAGGACUUGAACGUGUUGGGUCAGACUGGCUGCUGAGCUGAAGUCCUUUGAAUAGCGAGCCAAAACCAUCGCCAUGCCUGUUGCUACAGGCAGAGCCCUUCUAAAAUUCAGCUCUACCAUGGGCUCCGUGUCCUGGGAAAGCCAUCUCAUCUCUGCUCUGUGAUAACCACGGCGUUCUCCUGUGCGUGGCGGAGCAGCUCCCCGUCAAAGCAAGGCUCCGGCAGCUCUGCCCUUUGAUCAGCUCAGCAGCAUGGGUCAGGAGAGCCGAGUGUGAAGGUUUCCUUGCCUUUUGUUCUGCAGAAUUAGCAGAGUUAAUCAGAGUGACAGCGACUUCUGCCUCAGCACAGAAGAAAGGUCACUGGCUCGGGCUGGAUGCGUGACUGUUUUCCGGCCGGUUGGAAAACAUCGCCAUGAAAGCUCUUAACACGCACACCGCUGGCAUGGAAGCUCUCCUGGGAUCAGCGGGGGUUGCAAAAGCCACAGUGGGAGCUCUCCCCAGCAGCCAAGCCAUGGUCUUGCUUUCUUCGUGUCUUUUAACCACAACCUCGCCAUGCUGUGGAGUGGAGGGAGGCCAGCUGGGUCCAGGAUAAGAUGGCACAUGGGGUGCUGAGCCCCAGGGUGAACCUAGAGGCCUCCCAGGCCAUUGCCACCAUCCAGGCGCUGUGCUCCAGCAUGAAAAGGGUCUUUGACUGCCUGAAGGUUGGCGUGUGGAACAAGGAGAUGCUGGAGGGAUGCGAGAAGGGCUUUGUGGCCGCCUUCCAGGACAGCCUGCGCUCCCUCAGCCACAACCUGGGUGAGCAAUCAGGUUUUUCAGAAAGUGAUGGAUCAUGCAACCACUGCUCUGUUGCCCUACCAGCUGCUUUGGAUGCCCGGUGUGGUGGUCAGGUCUUACAUGACCUGGUUAAGAAGUUACAUAAAGCUGUUCCAGGCUCCGUGCCAGCGCUGCAGGAAGUUCCUGCAGGAUGGCCUGCUGCCCGUGUGGAGGGAUUUCCAAACACUUGGAGCUUUUCGUGACACUUGCAGGCAAUAGUAGCACAGCCCAGCAGUUGGCACGUGUGCAGAGAACAAUGUUGGGCUGGGAAGAGAGCUGAUGGUUUAAUUGCUGGUUCUAUUUCUGGCCCUUUCACCCUGCACUAAAUGUUGGGGUUGCAU